GCAAGUGGGAAGGCACCGUACCGAGGUGCUUAGCCGAGCUGAGAAACGGAUUUGGUCAGGAGUGCGGGUGUAGAGUCGAGACUCCAGAUUGGAUCAGAAAACUGAAGCACAUAGCGAGGCAGCCCGGGAGCCAAGGGUAGAAGCAUCACUGCCCAUCAUCACAGCCCAAGAGUCCUCCCUCCAGACUCCUGCCAGCCCCCAAGAGACUCACAUCUGUCUUCACAUCGAUUUUGCCAGGUUUCAGGGUCUGGUCCUCACGGACAACACUACUGGGGAAAUAGCCCAGGCGAGCCGCCAGAUCUCCAUAGUAAUCUCCCUGAACCUGGAAAGGAAGAAUCAAAAGCCAGGGUCUGGGAAGAUGGCAAAUUUAUUCCUGCUGAAGACCUUUGUACAUUUUUUUCUUCCUGGUCUUCAGCUGGCCCGCUCCAUCCUUGUCACUCAGAUCUCAGCUUCAAGGCACUUGCAUGGAUGCCCUCCCUGACCACCUGAGGUAGUCACCCAGUCUGUACUCAUUUCUCAAAGGAGCAUGUAUUUGCUGAUGUUUUUUGAUGGCUUGUCUCUUUCCAUGAGAAUAAAAGGAAUCAUCCACCGUUAGUUCUUU